GUUUUAGAUCAUCACAACUCUGGCUAUUUUAGUCUGUGUCACUGCUUGGAGUUGUAAUUAAGUUGCAUGAUCUGAAAUAUCAUAAUUAUGAAAAUUUUGGUAUUUGAUAAGAAUAACUUAUAUUCAGUCUUACCAAGAAAGUCAUGGAACAUUUAGCAGAAGGGCAAAAAAAAUCUAUACAGUGCCAGCAAAUAUCUCACAUAGAAGCAGACAGCUGAAGCCUCCAGAGGGCUUAACUUGUCCUUGAAUUUUCAGAUACACUGGGCAAGUUAGCAUUUUCUUAAUGCUAUCAUUGAGCCUAAAGAGGAGUUUCCUAAUACUGCUUGUACAAGUGUGAAGAAAGCACAGAGCAAACCGUGAAACUGUCUUCACUGCUCUGCCUCACAGAAGCUAUUCUCUGUUGGCCCUCACAAAGUCUUACCCUCUGCAUACGAAGUCGAGACCAUGGCCAAGGAAGACAUAGAAGACCCAUGUUGUUAUGCCCACCCAUCUCAAUAGCUCCCUCAAUAUUAAGAUCUCUCAAAUUUCACCGCCUCUUACAUGUCUGGAAACAGUUAACUGCCUCCGCAGAUUUACCUGUUCAAGACAUUUUAUAUAAAUGGAACCAUACAAUAUGCAGUUCUUGUGACUGGCUGCUUCUAUUUAGCAUAAUGUUGUCAAGGCUCAUCUGUGUCACAGCAUCUAU
ensembl:lncRNA